rnacentral:rRNA from 1 species
AGUGAACGCUGGCGGUAGGCCUAACACAUGCAAGUCGAACGGCAGCACAGUAAGAGCUUGCUCUUACGGGUGGCGAGUGGCGGACGGGUGAGGAAUACAUCGGAAUCUACUUUUUCGUGGGGGAUAACGUAGGGAAACUUACGCUAAUACCGCAUACGACCUACGGGUGAAAGCAGGGGAUCUUCGGACCUUGCGCGAUUGAAUGAGCCGAUGUCGGAUUAGCUAGUUGGCGGGGUAAAGGCCCACCAAGGCGACGAUCCGUAGCUGGUCUGAGAGGAUGAUCAGCCACACUGGAACUGAGACACGGUCCCGACUCCUACGGGAGGCAGCAGUGGGGAAUAUUGGACAAAGGGCGCAAGCCUGAUCCAGCCAUACCGCGUGGGUGAAGAAGGCCUUCGGGUUGUAAAGCCCUUUUGUUGGGAAAGAAAAGCAGCAGGUUAAUACCCCGCUGUUCUGACGGUACCCAAAGAAUAAGCACCGGCUAACUUCGUG